CCUACGGGUGGCAGCAGUGGGGAAUAUUGCACAAUGGGGGAAACCCUGAUGCAGCAACGCCGCGUGAGUGAAGAAGUAUUUCGGUAUGUAAAGCUCUAUCAGCAGGGAAGAAGAAAGACGGUACCUGACUAAGAAGCCCCGGCUAACUACGUGCCAGCAGCCUCGGUAAUACGUAGGGGGCAAGCGUUAUCCGGAUUUACUGGGUGUAAAGGGAGCGUAGACGGCUGUGCAAGUCUGAAGUGAAAGCCCGGGGGUCAACCCUGGAACUCCUUUGGAAACUGUAGAGCUAGAGUGCUGGAGAGGUAAGUGGAAUUCCGAGUGUAGCGGUGAAAUGCGUAGAUAUUAGGAGGAACACCAGUGGCGAAGGCGGCCUGCUGGACAGUAACUGACGUUGAGGCUCGAAAGCGUGGGGAGCAAACAGGAUUAGAUACCCGGGUAGUC
rnacentral:rRNA from 1 species